CCGGCACGGGUGAGUAACACGUAUCCAACCUGCCGUCUACUCUUGGACAGCCUUCUGAAAGGAAGAUUAAUACAAGAUGGCAUCAUGAGUCCGCAUGUUCACAUGAUUAAAGGUAUUCCGGUAGACGAUGGGGAUGCGUUCCAUUAGAUAGUAGGCGGGGUAACGGCCCACCUAGUCUUCGAUGGAUGGGGGUUCUGAGAGGAAGGUCCCCCACAUUGGAACUGAGACACGGUCCAA
rnacentral:rRNA from 1 species